GACGCUCCUGGCCGAAUAAAAAACCUCUUCCUUCUUUAAUCCGGUGUCCGAGGAGUUUUGUGUGCGACUCGUCCUGCUACAUUUCUUGGUUACAAAAACCUCUUCCUUCUUUAAUCCGGUGUCCGAGGAGUUUUGUCUGCGACUCGUCCUGCUACAUUUCUUGGUUACAAAAACCUCUUCCUUCUUUAAUCCGGUGUCUGAGGAGUUUUGUUUGCGACUCGUCCUGCUACAUUUCUUGGUUCCGUGACCGGGAAGCGAGGUGAUUGAAGGACGGUCGAGGCAGCCCCUUAGGCUGCUUAGGCCUGCCCUGUGGAGCGUCCCUGCAAGGGACUCUGGCCAGCUUGAGCGACGGGCAUCCUGAGAGCGCUCCCGGGUAGGCAAUUGCCCUGGUGGAACACCUCGUCAGAGCAGUGUGUGGCAGGCCCCCGCGGAGGAUCAACGUGGUGGCUGAACACCGGGAAGGAACUGGCACUAGAAGUCUGGACGUCUGAAACUUGAAGAACGACCACACUUUUACGUUAAGGUUAAGACUCUCUGAGUUUCUGAAGCCUUGCAGAAGUAAUCUUUGCCUAGCUUUGGGAAGAUCUGACCCACUACAGAUUAUGUUAGAAGUGCCAGAGGAGGAAGACUUCCUGUACCCGUCUGUUAUGGAGCUAAAUCACAUCAGUCACACUGUGACAUGUGAUGAAAAACAUGGGCGCCAUAGUAAGUCAGCCAGAACCCAGAGCAAUGAGUAUGUCUGGAAGGAGGAGACUGCACCAAAGCUAACAUGUGGGCUGUGCGUUGAAGGAUGAGGA
rnacentral:lncRNA from 1 species